rnacentral:tRNA from 1 species
GGUGGCUCAAUGGUAGAGCACUUGCCUUGCAUGCAUGAAGCCCUGAGUUCGAUUCCUCAGACCA